rnacentral:tRNA from 1 species
GCGGGUAUCGUAUAGUGGCUUAUUAUGCGACCUUGCCAAGGUCGAGAGACGGGUUCAAUUCCCGUUACCCGCU